rnacentral:lncRNA from 10 species
AUGCAGAGGAGGCUCCAAUGGCUAGAGAAAGCCCAGAGGCAGAGAGACAGAGAGACUAGCCAUUGAAGGUCAGUCCUGCAAGCACUGAAAUGAAAGAGGUAUAAAGAUGGAACAAAUUCAUCAAGAAAAGUAGAAAUGAGAAAGCACACAGCCCCAGAGAAAGUGAAGAUCAAAAGAAUAUCAUCUUAAGACCCGGCCCUACUUCCCUGCUGUGGGUCCAUAGAAUUCCCCUGUACUCAAUACAUCUGAGGCAACUGAGGACCAAAGAGAUUAAUAUGCCUAAAGUCAGAAGCCUACUAGAAUGUGGACACAGUGGGGUAAAUGGAAACAGCCACCUUGGACCAAGAUGGAAGCCAUGUGCUGAGAAUUGCAGAGCCACCGAGAAGGAGCCUAAACCCAUCACUACACAGUCACCAGAUCAACCCAGGAUUGCUACCUUGUAUAUUAUGAUGUGAGAGAUAUAAGAUUCUAUCUUCUUUAAGCCUUUAUUGUUUCAACUUUUGUUAUGGCAACCCAAUGUUUGUGCAAGAGGGCUUUCAUUUCUUACUCCAUUUGUUUCUGGGUUGUUUGAAGGUUUUAUAACAUGUAUAACUAGUUUUAUAACUUGAAAUUUAUAUGUAAUUGGUAUCUGUUUAUCUAUAGGUAAAGGUAGAGAUAUUUCAAAGGAAGUCUUCGCUCUUAAAGAAAAAAAAAAAGAGGCUAAAAUUAGGCUGGG